rnacentral:rRNA from 1 species
UACGUAGGGGGCAAGCGUUGUCCGGAUUUAUUGGGCGUAAAGAGCGUGUAGGCGGCCAGGUAGGUCUGCUGUGAAAACUCGAGGCUCAACCUCGAGACGUCGGCGGAAACCAUCUGGCUAGAGUCCGGAAGAGGAGAGUGGAACUCCUGGUGUAGCGGUGGAAUGCGCAGAUAUCAGGAAGAACACCAAUUGCGAAGGCAGCUCGCUGGGACGUUACUGACGCUGAGACGCGAAAGCGUGGGGAGCAAACAGG